rnacentral:rRNA from 1 species
AGUGAACGCUGGCGGCAGGCCUAACACAUGCAAGUCGAACGGCAGCACAAGAGAGCUUGCUCUCUGGGUGGCGAGUGGCGGACGGGUGAGGAAUGCAUCGGAAUCUGCCCAUUUGUGGGGGAUAACCUCGGGAAACCGGGACUAAUACCGCAUACGACCUACGGGUGAAAGCAGGGGAUCUUCGGACCUUGCGCAGAUGGAUGAGCCGAUGCCGGAUUAGCUAGUUGGAGGGGUAAAGGCCCACCAAGGCGACGAUCCGUAGCUGGUCUGAGAGGAUGAUCAGCCACACUGGGACUGAGACACGGCCCAGACUCCUACGGGAGGCAGCAGUGGGGAAUAUUGGACAAUGGGCGCAAGCCUGAUCCAGCCAUGCCGCGUGUGUGAAGAAGGCCUUCGGGUUGUAAAGCACUUUUGUUGGGAAAGAAAAGCUGCCGGUUAAUACCCGGUUGUCAUGACGGUACCCAAAGAAUAAGCACCGGCUAACUUCGUG